GAUGAACGCUGGCGGCGUGCCUAAUACAUGCAAGUCGAGCGCGAGAGUGAGAAGCUUGCUUCUCUGAUGUUAGCGGCGGACGGGUGAGUAACACGUGGGUAACCUACCUAUAAGACUGGGAUAACUCCGGGAAACCGGGGCUAAUACCGGAUAAUAUUUUGAACCGCAUGGUUCAAUAGUGAAAGACGGUUUCGGCUGUCACUUAUAGAUGGACCCGCGCCGUAUUAGCUAGUUGGUAAGGUAACGGCUUACCAAGCGACGAUACGUAGCCGACCUGAGAGGGUGAUCGGCCACACUGGAACUGAGACACGGUCCAGACUCCUACGGGAGGCAGCAGUAGGGAAUCUUCCGCAAUGGGCGAAAGCCUGACGGAGCAACGCCGCGUGAGUGAUGAAGGUCUUCGGAUCGUAAAACUCUGUUGUUAGGGAAGAACAAAUUUGUUAGUAACUGAACAAGUCUUGACGGUACCUAACCAGAAAGCCACGGCUAACUACGUGCCAGCCGCCGCGGUAA
rnacentral:rRNA from 1 species